CUUUCUAAUUAUGGUUUAAUGGCUUAUGUGAAUGAAUUACAUUAUUGUUUAUGAUUUUGCAAGAUAGACGUUUGGGUUGUUAAAAACAGAAAUGUACUUAUUAAGUGGUCAAAAGCUGAAAAGGUACUCGUUAGCUUGCUAAUGUCUUGCUAACCUUUUUUCUUGGCAUAAGCAUUGGACUGUUCUAAAAUAGCUCAAAACAGCUCUGGCUGUCAACAUAAAAAUAGUGCAUGCUAACUCCUGCUCUUUUGUUAUAUGGCAGGAUAGAGGCAGGAAGUUUUUGUGUUUCUGCUGAACUAUAAAACACAAGAAUGAGAGCAAACUAUCCUUGAAUCAUAAAAAAAAUUCUGAAGCAAUAAAAUUGUUUAAACCGUAAACAAAAUGCUGCACGUCACUAGCAAUUCACAGUUUUUGUAUACUGUUGUCUUUCUGGCUUAAAUCCCAGGCUAUUUUUCUCCCCCUUAGGAGUUAUUUAGCACUGUGUGGUGAAUUUAACUGUAUAAAUGCUGAUGCAGUAUAUUAUAAUAUAAAUAUAAAUAAUGUAACUGGUAUAGUAGCUUCCUAGUUUUCUUCAAAUGUUGAAGUAAGUAAACCCAGAAUAGGGUGUCAAAAUAAAUGCGAAGCAGAUUUUUUCUCUAAAAUAAACCUAUGUUCAUAGGACAAAAAUUGAUACCCUAUGAGGAUUCACAGAAUUUUACAAACUAAAUAGAAAUCCAGAAUUCUACCAAAGAUUUCUGCACCAGAUGCCGUCUCAUAAUUCCUCUUACUAGUGGCUUCUUCAGAAUAAAUAAGUUGAUCAUUCAUUCUUAAGACAGUGACAAUUCCCAUAAAUCAGUGGGAGCUGAAAUAAAAGGUUCUAGAAGGCAGUUAGGCUGUUGCACAAUUGUUCUUGAACGCAAGGGCAGGAGAUUGACAGCUCUUGAAGUUUUAUUCAUUCAUUCUUCAUCAAGACAUCUUUUAAAGAUCUGGCACAGGUCAUCUUGAAUAUGUGUAUAAAUAUUAUAAUAAAUUAAGACCUGGCUACCAGCAGACCUAAACAUGGGCCCAAAGUAGGAAAAAACUGUUGCUCUUAGAAUGUUGAAUAUAUGGGGCCAGCGCCAUGGCUCACUUGGUUAAUCCUCCGCCUGCACUUCCGGCAUCCCAUAUGGGCGCCGGGUUCAAGUCGGGCUGCUCCUCUUCCAGUCCAGCUCUCUGCUAUGGCCUGGGAAAGCAGUGGAGGAUGGUGCAAGUGCUUGGGUGCCUGUACCCACGUGGGAGACCAGGAAGAAGCACCUGGCUCCUGGCUUUGGAUCUGCAUAGCUCCAGCCGUAGCAGCUAUCUGGGGAGUGAACCAAUGGAAAGAAGACCUUUCUCUCUAUCUUUCUCCCUCACUGUCUAACUCUAUCUGUCAAAUAAAUAAAUUUAAAAAAUUUAAAAAAAAAGAAUGUUGAAUAUAUAUUUUGUGACUGUGAAAAAAAGUGGAACAAGAAAGUAACAUUUAUUGAGUCUCUGUUAUGUGCUCAUCACUUUUGGAUAUGAAAUCUAAUGUCUGCCUAGCAGCUCUAGAAAGUUUGAACCACCCCUACUUUUCCAAGGUAAGUAGAACCUCAGAGAGAGUAGCAGAGUUGCUCAAAGUGAUACUGUUGGUGCCAGUAGAGUCAGAAUUUAAACCCAAGCCCAGUGCUAAAGACCCUGGUCUUCCCACAGUGUUCUGCCUUCUGGAAACCUUGGCAGAAGCACCCUUCCUUCUUCAGUCUGGGGGCAAGAAGGUGACGUGAAAUAGCCCCUUCACGGCAGGACAGAUGAGCCCAAAUCUUGAGACCAAUCUGUAUGUGAGGAAGUUGGAAGAAGUAAUAUGGUUAUGUAUUCUAAGGACUUAGCCCGAGUUGAGAUUUUCAGGUUGAAACUUUGACUAGUAGCUUGUAGCCACCUGAAGAAACUGGCCAGGGAAGACAUUUCUUCAUUCCAGAGUGAUGAUAGUUUAUACUGUUACAGAAGAAUUCAUGCUUAUUUCAAAGUUCAGCAACUUACAUUCCAUUUGAAAUGCUUUAGUAUAAUUAGAAUUUUUAUUCAUAGUAUAAAAAAUUGCUUUGCCACUUGUAUUAGGAUUAGAUUUUGAUUUUUCUUGGAUUCUUGGAUUUUUUUUAGAUUUAUUUAUUUGAAAGUCAUAAUUACAUAGAGGAGAGGCAGAGAGAGAGAGAGAAAGAGAGGGAAUUGUUCUUUUCUUCAGUUUUUAAACAAAGGAGUGGAAUUUGAGUAGUCUGUUUUUCCAAUGAAUUUGUUAGAAAGGCUUAUUUAGGGGAAUGGCAUUUCAUCUAAAUAUUUUCCCGUUGGGAUGACAGACUAAUUAUGGGAGCUGAGCUUAUUGUUUUGUAGUCACACCCCAUCAGCAUUUUGGGUUUCACAUAAAUGUUUGCUCAUCCUCACUCUUGCUACUAAUUACUGUCAUUUUUUUAAAAAGUUUAUUGGGGUACGGAUGGACUCACUGGCUUUCUUACAAUCCCAUGCUUUUUCUUUCAACAUUCCUUCCUUCUUAACAUGCUCUCCCUCAACAUGCUCAUACGAGGUGCUGUUGUGUGUCUCACUGUACAAGGCUCAACAGAUAAGAAACAAGAUAAUGAACCAUGUUCUUACCUUUGAGGACUAUCUAGUCUGUCAGGGGAGCAGAACCGCCAGUCUAAGAUCAGCCUAUUGGUACAGGUUCUGUGGAAGAAGUGUUGUGAGGGCAUUGUGGAGAAAUCGCAGUGGGUCGGUCAGUUCUACCUCCUUGUUGGGUUUGAGGUCCAGUGUGUGUUCUCACAGCUAACGUGAGCCUAGUGCUCCCUGGUAACCCAUGCUGAUAAACUGCUGUCACCUGUUAGACCCAGGGCCACUGUGCAUGGAAACUCUGUGUGUUGAUUGAAAAGAUCCAAGCAUAAAUGAUGAAAUGGAAAAGCCCAUUGCAAAACAGUGUACAUGGAAUGCUACCUUUGGUUAAAAUAAAGAGAGAAAAAAAUCAUCUUUCUAUAUUUAUCUAUUUCAUUCAUGUGUUUAAGUAACCAAACUCUAGAAGAAUAUACAGUAAACUAAUUUUACCAGCAAAUUUUUGUACAGGUUUGAGAGAACAGGGUAGGUAGCACAGAAGUGUGAGUGAGACUUUUCAAAUUGUUUACCUUUCUAUAUUUUUUGAUUAUAGGGCCAUGUGUGUGUGUGUGUGUGUGUGUAUAUAUAUAUAUAUAUAUAUAUAUAUAAGAUUUUUACUAUAUGUGAAAGGAACACUAGAAAAAGAUAGCACUUUUCUCUAAGUGAUGACUGUCCUGUGAUUGAGUGCCAAGUUUGGAAGUAACCAGAGGAGGUGGAGCAGAUCCAUUUGUUCUCUCAUUAUUCAGAGCUGCAGACUCUUGACCUGGGAUGCAAACUGAAGCAAAAUCAGACCCAGAUUAUUUUCUUAAAGUCUCACUGUUCACCUUAGAUAAAGAGGGGAAACUUCCCUCUGCUAGUACAGGAAUCCCGCAGGAGGCAAGUUUCAAUUGAGCAACUCACCCUCGUGAGCCCAUGGCACUUGUGUAAGUUCUUGGCAGAGCAUUCUGAUGAGAAACCAAACCCGUCUGUGGGUGUGUGUCCUUUACUUUUUUUAAAAGUAUGCAUCUUGAAACUUUCAAACGUUUCUCUUUUUCCUUUUUUAAAAAAUCUGUGUAAGGCCGGCGCCGCGGCUCACUAGGCUAAUCCUCCGCCUAGCGGCGCCGGCACACCGGGUUCUAGUCCCGGUCGGGGCACCGGAUUCUGUCCCGGUUGCCCCUCUUCCAGGCCAGCCCUCUGCUGUGGCCAGGGAGUGCAGUGGAGGAUGGCCCAGGUGCUUGGGCCCUGCACCCCAUGGGAGACCAGGAGAAGCACCUGGCUCCUGCCUUCGGAUCAGCACGGUGCGCCGGCCGGCCAUUGGAGGGUGAACCAACGGCAAAGGAAGACCUUUCUCUCUGUCUCUCUCUCUCACUGUCCACUCUGCCUGUCAAAAAAAAAAAAAAAAAAAAAAAAAAAAAAAAAAAAAUCUGUGUAUCCUGCAGAAGCCAGCUCACCGUUCACAGUAGGUGUCUGGUUAACAUAGGUGGAGGUGGCAUGGACCUCACCAGACCAAGGCCCUCUACAGUGUCAGCACAGAUUGCAUUUACAUGUGUUCAUUGCUGCCUCCAAAAGUACAUGUUUGCAGCACAAAGACAGCGAUUCAGAGUUGCAGGAGUUGGAGGUUGGCUUUCUGGCAGCACACCCUGCUAGGUGUUCUCAUGUAGGGACAGGGGAACAGUCCCCUCGCUGUCAGUCUCACAAGGCUAGUACUGUAGGCACUAGUUCCCUGGAUAAUGUCUUCAUUAUAUCACUCGUUAUAUUACGUGCCCAGAGGAGUUACAGGGCAAGUUGCCACACAAAAUCGUCUACCUGGAUGGUCUCUGACUAAGCGCUGGUGACUGAAUAACAGAUUUUGGGCUGUUGCUUUAGCCUGUCCAGGGUUAUUCAUCUUUUCUGGGUCACUCAUGAGACGAUACAAAUUGGUUCUCAGACUCUGAAUUAUUCUCCCCGCAUACAGAGAUAGAUAAAUUACCAUCUGCCUUUUGGGCCCUGGUGUUUUCAUAGGUAAAACCAGUCAAUUGGAUCAGUCUUAACAUUUGGAUGAAUAGAUGUUUUCUCUUUGCCUGUGUAUUGUUUAACUGACAGAGUAAUGUGUUUAACCAUGUUUACCUUUCAAAAUAUACCAUUUUAAGUAAGAGCAAGUGACCUUGUUGGUAAGCUGGAGGCUGAAAUUUCUUUUUUCAAUGAUUUAUUUGAAAGGCACAGUUAUAGAGAGAGAAAUAAAGAUCUUCCAUCCGUUGGUUCAUUUCCCAAAUGGCCAUGAUGGCUGGGGCUUAGCCAGAAUGAACUAGGAGCCAGGAGCUUCUUCUGGGUUUCCAUAUGGAUGCAGGUGCCCAAGCACUUGGGCCAUCCUCUGCUGGUUUCCCCAGGCACAUUAGCAGGGAGCUGGAUCAGAAGUGGAGUAGCUGGGUCUUGAACUAUCAUUCUGGUGGGAUGCUGGUGUAGCAGGAGGCGGCUUUUACCUGCUAAGCCACAAUGCUGGCCCCUGGAGUGUGUAAUUUUAUCAUCAUACAUAGGUUUUAUCUGUGUGGCAGAGCCUACUGAAAGGUAGUGAGGAUACCUGGGCUCCAGUUCCUACUGUGCCAGGAGCAGGGGACAGAGCAGGAGGGGUUGUGGCAGAUGGUUAUAGUAGUGAAGUGUGGGGUGGGUAGCAGCAUCCCUGGCUUCGUGAACUCAUCUAAUUUUCCCAAGGUAGAGAGAGAAUCAAGAUGAUUGUUUAUACCACGGACAGUCUCUCUGCCUUACUAAGUUGCCUAGCAGUUUACUUUUGGAAGAGGAUUCAGUUUUUUUUCCUCAAUGGUUUUUUGGAGAAGAAUUUAAAAAAUGGAAUGAUAACUUUCACCCAGUUAUAUUUCUUUACCAUUAUGUUCAAAGAUGACAUGGUUUGCUUUUAGACUUUACGGUAAACAAGGAGGCCUCAAAACACUAAAAAAAAAAAGUCUUAGUUGACACUGGGAAUUCAGAUUUCAAGUUGAUGACUCCCUGCUUAGCAGGUUCUCCUGGAAGUGGGACUGGUUGCACCUAAGACUGAAGUAUACAUUGAGGAUAUCAUGCUUUUUACUAGAGUAAGGGCAGUACACUGGUGCUAAUGUUAUCCUAUGCCUCUCAUAGACAUUGCCUAGAAGUCACAAUACUGGAUAACCUUAUUGCUAAACCUAGAUGUGGCCUCUGUCUGUUUACCAAGUCGGUGGUCUUGACAGCUAGAAUCAAACCGUUGGCGCUGGUAGCAAAGAUACAGUCUGAUUGCAACUCUGGACUAGAUAUUAGUUAGUUAUUGAUUAUAUAGUUUUAGUGCCUAAUCUUGCUCAAGUAACUCUCUCUCUUAAUUUCCUUAACCUAGGCAACUAAAGAGCAAACAUUUAAAAAUUGUCCUUUUUAUCCAAGUAUUUUCAUUUAGCUAAAAAUCUUAUUCACACCUGACAUCUAGUUACAGAAGUUGUAGGCCCGAAUAGCCUUUGACCUUUGCUUCUGUGACCUUCUCUGCAGGCUGCAGUGUGUCCAUGGCCUGCGGUAGAGCUCUAUGCUACCAGUACUUUCCGAAAGAAGCCACAUCUGUAUGCUCAGUCCGCAAACACAGACUCCUUUCGGAUGUGACUAAGUUUUCAGGCCUGGGGCAGAACCUGCUUAGUCCUGUGCUGCACACAGAAUGACCAGGCAGGUCAUUCUUUCCGCAGUGGCCCUUUACCAGAACUUUCCCCAGAGGAAGAUGUUUUAAUUCUUUUUUUACACGUGCUCUGUGCCUUAUGCAUUUCCUAUUUGCUAUGGUUGCAUAUGAUAUAGCUCCUGAACUUAUAGAAGCUUAAGUCUCAAAACAUGGAUUGCUGAUUUUAAAAGGGUGGCGGCUUGGUCUAGGAGGUGGCCCACUGUGAGGACCUGUAGUCACUGGAAAGUAGUUCUCAUGGGAGGGUUGGUUAUGAAGCCGGAGCCAGGCCUGGCUGCUCGCGCCUGGUGUCCUGGCUCACCACAUGAGCGUUCCUUCACACACGCUCCCACCAUUGCCGUGUUCAGGCCACGGGGCCCUCCCCAUCUUGGACCAUGAACCUCUAAAGCUGUAAGCUGAGCACCUCUUUUCUCUUCUUAAAUGCUUCCUCUCUGAUAUCCUAGUGACAGAAAGACUCGCUGGCAGAUCUGCCCUGAGCGGUAACAGUAGUGGAAGCUCUGGUGGACAUUCUGUAAGUCCUGUAUACCUGUAAAGUGUCUGCGUUUUGUUCUUAGUUGCUCCUUAGAGAGGGCUUAUGGCACACUCUGCCUUCUACCUUUGUCAUAGAGAAAGAGGCCCCUACAGGUCAAUAUUACAGCCUCACAGAAAGUUAAAGGCACAGGUGGAACUGCUCUUUGCUCUCUGAUCUGGUGACUGUAACGCUGUGGAACCAUCAAGGAAACAACUCGAGAGUGUGUUGCUUUGCCUUUGUUUUUUGCAGGUGGCACAUAUGGAAAGGCUCUUGAUUGUGGAGCUGGACAGGCACUGAGAAGCUAGAAUAAUUUUGCUAAGUUACUUGACAUUUCUGAGUGUGGCACGUAAGACGCAGUAGAUUUUAAAGAAUUUUUUUCUGCUGUCUUUAUGGCAGGGAGAGUAGGCUCCUUUGUACUGUAGGGGCAGUUGUGUCAUAUUUAUCCUACAGCCAGACCUGCACGUGGCUGCUGCUGGUCCUGUGGCAGCCAAAGAUCUAUGCCCAUGGCAGUGAAGAGGAUGAGCUGGCUGCUUGUGCCACUGUCGGCUUCUGCCAGAGACAGCCCAAUACUUAGGGAAAGGAAAAACCACCUUUUGAGAAUUAUUUUCCUAUUUUUAAAUCUUAUAUAAAUGGAAUCAUAUCAAUGAGAUCUAUUCCUAAAAAUGGCCCAAGUCCUUGGGCCCCUGUGCCCAUGUAGGAGAACUGGACAAAGCUCCUGGCUCCUGGCUUUGGCCUGGCGCAGCCCUGUCUGUUGGCAGCCAUUUGGGGAAUGAACUAAUGGAUGGAAGAGCUCUCUCUUCAUCUCUCUCUCUGUAACUCUGACUUUCAAAAUAAAUAAAUUAAAAAAAAAAAAAAAGAAAACGAGGGAGAUAUUUAGAGCUUCAGUGGCUUUGGAAUACAUGAAUAGCUUAUCCAAGAUAGGAGAAUGAGUUAGAGUUGGAGGAAAGUUAUUAGACUUGAGAUUCCUGUGAUGUGUUUUAGCUCAGGUAAAAUAAAGUCUCUGCCUUUCAAGCUGAUCUAACAUUCAUGUCACCAUUGAACAAAGCAUACAGAUGGCCACAUCCAUACACAUACUUAGUCACUUACCUGAUAAAAAGAGCACCUAAUGUUCGGGAUGUGCAACUUAGGUUUUUAUUUGAACUUUCCUAGAGAAGCAUCAUUUGAGAUAGGUUUAUAUUUCAAAUCAAGUAUUGAAUGGUCUUUCAAAUCUUAGCCAUUGUAGAAGUCACAGGAGAGGACUUAUUUUCCUACCUUAAACUACUGGAGAACCAACCAUGUAUGAAACAACAUAGGAUGAGACUAGAAAGCUGUAACAAAGAUCCAGUUGGAAUUUUUGAGGAAGAAAAAUAUAAUAUCUGAAUUAAAAAAUAAAGCAGAAGGCAUUUGAAGAUUAGACACUGAAGAGAGAGUAGAUAGUAAUAGAAGAUAUCCAGGAUGAAGCAUAUAGAGAUAAAAAGACUGUGAAACAACUGAACAGAAUUUUUGUGACCUGUGAGACACCAUCAAGAGGUCAAACACACGUGUAGUUACAGUUCCUGGAAGGGAAGAUAGCAGAAAACAUUUUACCCAAAUUUUAUGAAAAUUCUAAACCCACACAUACAAGGAGUGCAGUGAAUUUUAAGUAGCAUACACAUAAAGGAAACUAUACCAUAAAGAAGGACAUUUCUUGAUGACAAAAGGGUACAUUCACCAAGAGGGCAUAGCAAGCUUAAAUAUAUUAUUCUUGAUUAGCUCUAAAAUAUGUGAAGCUGAAACUUAUCAAACAGAAGGGAAAAGUAGACCAACCCACAAUUGUGUCUGGGAUCUUAGCAUUCUUCUCUCAGUAAUUGAUAAAACCACCAAACUGAAUGUUGGUGAGGACAAAGAAGAAGGGAUUAACAAAUUAACACUUUCAAAAUUGAUGUAACAGAACACUGUACCGAACAUCAACACCAACAGAAUAUACCUCCUUUUCAAGUACACAUUGAAUGGAACAUUUACCAAUACAAAUCUUGAUAAUUUGAAAGAAUUGAAGUCAGAACAGAAUUAAAAUAUAAUAACGAUAGUUGGAAAAUCCCCCAAAUCUGCCAGUAACGCACUUCUAAAUAACUCAUAGAAGAAAAAAGUCACAGUAAAUAUUUUGAACUGAAUGAAAAGUAAAAUGCAACACAGAAAAAUUUGUGGGAUGCAGAUAAAGCAAUGCUUAGAGGGAAAUCCAUAUCUUAAUUAAAUGCUUCUGUUAGAAAAGAAGAAAGCUCUAGAAUCAGUGAUGUUAACCUAGAGGCUUAGACUUAACAGUCUGGAAAAGUAAGAGAAAAUUAAAUGCAAAGUAAACAUAGGAAGGUAAGAGAAAAGCAAAAAACUAAUGAAAUAAAAACAAACUAAAAGCUGCCUUUUUUUUUAGAUUAAUAAAAUUGCUAAACUAGCCAACUGAUCAGGUAAAAAAAGUGAGAAUACACAAAUACCCUCUCUCAGGAAUUAAAGACAGACAUCAUUACAGAGCCACAUAAGUUAGAAUGAUAAGAAAAUAGUAUUACCAAGGUUACGUUAUUUUACUUGACAGCUGAGAUGAAACAAAUUCUUAAAAAAGACAAACUAUGAAAGCUCACUUAAGAUGAAAUAGGUAACAAGAAUAUCCCUCUUCCAGGGGUGAGUUUUUGGCCUAGAGGUUAAGACCACUGUUAAUACACCUGGUCCCAUAUUGAAGUGCCUGGGUUUGAAUUCUGGCUUUACUCCCAGUUUUAGCUUCCUGCUAAAGUGAACUGUGGGAGACAGCAGGUGAUGGCUCAAGUAGUUGGGCCCCUACCGACACAUAUAUGAGGCCUGGAUUGACAUCUUGGCUUCUAGCUUCCGUGUGGCCCAGCCCAGUGAUCAGAGUCAUUUGGGGAGUGAACCAGCAAAUGUGAUCUGUCUGUGUAUGUCUUUCUCUCUCUUUCUCUCUGCCUCUCUCUUGAAAAAAAAAAAAAAAACUCUCUAUAAAAUAAUUAACAGACAUUUUUUAAUGAAAAUUAAUUAAAGCCCUAAUUAAUAAUGGGGUUAUUUAACAAUAGUCCUAUUUUCUAUUAAGGAAAUUGAAUUUGUAGUUAAAAACUUUCCCAGAAAGAAAACUUCAGGCUAUGAUUGUUUCACUAGAGAAUACUUCAAAUAUUUCAAGAAGUAAUACUAGUUCUAUGUAAAUUCUUGCAGAAAAUAGAAGAGAACACAUCUCAGCUGGUUUAUAUGGCCAGCCUUACUCUCUUUCAAAAGCUGACAAAAAUAUUACAAAGGAGGAAAAACCAUAGUCUAACAAUAUAUAAAGAAGGGACCAUACCAUGACUAAGUUGUUUUAUCCCAGAAAUUAAGGAUCAAAUCCUACUUGAUUUUAAGACUUCCUGUAGGCCGGCGCUGCGGCUCAAUAGGCUAAUCCUCCACCUAGCGGCGCCAGCACACUGGGUUCUAGUCCUGGUUGGGGCGCUGGAUUCUUUCCUGGUUGCCCCUUUUCCAGGCCAGCUCUCUGCUGUGGCCCGGGAAGGCAGUGGAGGAUGGCCCAAGUGCCUGGGCCCUGCACCUGCAUGGGAGACCAGGAGAAGCACCUGGCUCCUGCCUUCGGAUCAGCGUGGUGCGCCAGCCAUGGUGGCCAUUGGAGGGUGAACCAACGGCAAAAGGAAGACCUUUCUCUCUGUCUUCUCUCUCUCACUAUCCACUCUGCCUGUCAAAAAAAAAAAAAAAAAAAAAAAGAC